rnacentral:rRNA from 1 species
AGAGUUUGAUCAUGGCUCAGGACGAACGCUGGCGGCGUGCUUAACACAUGCAAGUCGAACGGAAAGGCCCUUCGGGGUACUCGAGUGGCGAACGGGUGAGUAACACGUGGGUGAUCUGCCCUGCACUUUGGGAUAAGCCUGGGAGACUGGGUCUAAUACCGAAUAUGACCAUGCACUUCCUGGUGUGUGGUGGAAAGCUUUUGCGGUGUGGGAUGGGCCCGCGGCCUAUCAGCUUGUUGGUGGGGUAAUGGCCUACCAAGGCGACGACGGGUAGCCGGCCUGAGAGGGUGACCGGCCACACUGGGACUGAGAUACGGCCCAGACUCCUACGGGAGGCAGCAGUGGGGAAUAUUGCACAAUGGGCGCAAGCCUGAUGCAGCGACGCCGCGUGAGGGAUGACGGCCUUCGGGUUGUAAACCUCUUUCAGCACAGACGAGGCGCAAGUGACGGUAUGUGCAGAAGAAGGACCGGCCAACUACGUGCCAGCAGCCGCGGUAAUACGUAGGGUCCGAGCGUUGUCCGGAAUUACUGGGCGUAAAGAGCUCGUAGGUGGUUUGUCGCGUUGUUCGUGAAAACUCACAGCUUAACUGUGGGCGUGCGGGCGAUACGGGCAGACUUGAGUACCGCAGGGGAGACUGGAAUUCCUGGUGUAGCGGUGGAAUGCGCAGAUAUCAGGAGGAACACCGGUGGCGAAGGCGGGUCUCUGGGCAGUAACUGACGCUGAGGAGCGAAAGCGUGGGGAGCGAACAGGAUUAGAUACCCUGGUAGUCC